UAAAGUUUUAAGUAAUUAAAUAAAAAAUGUAGAAAUAAGCGGAAGCAACUUAGAGAUAGCUAUGUAGCUGAAGGCCCAGAGAAAAUUCCUGGUUCUAUCUUCAGUUUGUGGUACAUGAUUCGGGACUACUUAGAGCCCCUUCCCAAAAGGGAUGGAUGAAUGUGGCAGGAGAUGUAGAACAAAUAGUAGAAAGUGACCAGAGGCUUCCAACUCCAUUUAUACCUUUGGCAGCUCCAUUACCUCCUCCAGUCCCUGGGGCUACCAUGGGGGGGGGGGGGGGUGGGAAGCCCUCUGGACAAUGUGCUUCCUCCCAAAAACGAACGAGAAUUGAAGGAGGAGGCAGAGAGGGAACAAUGCAGGUGGGACUGGGAUUAUGGGGGUCUAAGACAAGCCUUUGGAAAACUUACUGUUACUCGUAAGCCUCUCCAGUCGCCUUCUAAACAAACAAGAACAAGAGUGGGAUCUCUGUCUCUACUCUAGUGGUCUCUGUAUGAGGCUAGGCAGGCUUGGGAAGACACUUCAGGAUUUAGUAGCCAAUCGUACUCUUAAAAUGCAAUUACUAAAACAAAAAGGGGGAGAAGAGGUUGUGUUUGUAUCUUUCCAGAAGGAGCAGUACAGUCAAUUUGGGUGCCAGAAUGGUACGUGCGACACCACAAUGGACCCAGAGAAGUUCCUUGUCCCUCCGUUCAAGAGACUGAGAGUUGCCCCAAUGACAGCAAAGAAGAAGAAGCUAACAACUGAGGCCCAGCAAAUAGCAGAAGAGCAAGGAGUGGAAGCUACUCCUUCAGCCAUGUUUAUGGCUGUUAGCAUAGAGAAAUAAAUAGAGAAGUAAGCAGUAGAAAAUAAGCCAUAGAAAUAGAGAGUAGGAAAUAAGUUGUAGGAAUAUAGAAAUAAGAAGUAGAAAAUAAGCAGUAGCAGUAGAAAAUAAGUAGAAAUAAGUUGUAGAAAUGUAGAAAUAAGCGGGGGUUGCAACCCAGGAAAGGUUUGGGCAAGGGCAGCCAGGCCUACCUAUGGUUCUGUAAGCAGGGGUUGCAACCCAGAAAGGUUUGGGCAAGGGCAGCCAAGCCUAUCUAUAGUUCAUAGUUAGAGUUAGAGAAAUAAGUAGAAA